GGACCCGCACAAGCAGCGGAGCAUGUGGUUUAAUUCGAAGCAACGCGAAGAACCUUACCAGGUCUUGACAUCCUCUGACAAUCUGAGAGAUCAGACUUUCCCUUCGGGGACAGAGAGACAGGUGGUGCAUGGUUGUCGUCAGCUCGUGUCGUGAGAUGUUGGGUUAAGUCCCGCAACGAGCGCAACCCCUGUGGUUAGUUGCCAUCAUUCAGUUGGGCACUCUAAGCAGACUGCCGUGGAUAACACGGAGGAAGGUGGGGACGACGUCAAAUCAUCAUGCCCCUUAUGACCUGGGCUACACACGUGCUACAAUGGUCUGAACAGAGGGCUGCGAAACCGCGAGGUGAAGCUAAUCCCUUAAAACAGAUCUCAGUUCGGAUUGCAGGCUGAAACUCGCCUGCAUGAAGUUGGAGUUGCUAGUAAUCGCAGAUCAGAAUGCUGCGGUGAAUGCGUUCCCGGGUCUUGUACACACCGCCCGUCACACCACGAGAGUUGGCAACACCCGAAGUCAGUGAGGUAACCGUAAGGAACCAGCUGCCGAAGGUGGGGUCAGUAAUUGGGGUGAAGUCGUAACAAGGUAGCCGUAUCGGAAGGUGCGGCU
rnacentral:rRNA from 1 species